UACGAAGGGGGCUAGCGUUGUUCGGAAUUACUGGGCGUAAAGCGCGCGCUGGCGGAUCGUUAAGUCGGGGGUGAAAUCCUGGAGCUCAACUCCAGAACUGCCUUCGAUACUGGCGAUCUCGAGUCCGGAAGAGGUGAGUGGAACUCCUAGUGUAGAGGUGGAAUUCGUAGAUAUUAGGAAGAACACCAGUGGCGAAGGCGGCUCACUGGUCCGGUACUGACGCUGAGGUGCGAAAGCGUGGGGAGCAAACAGG
rnacentral:rRNA from 1 species